UACGUAGGGGCCUAGCGUUGUCCGGAUUUAUUGGGCGUAAAGAGCUCGUAGGCGGUUCGGUAAGUCAGGUGUGAAAUCUCCACGCUCAACGUGGAGGCGCCACCUGAAACUGCCGUGACUCGAGUCCGGUAGGGGAGUGUGGAAUUCCCGGUGUAGCGGUGAAAUGCGUAGAUAUCAAGUGGAACACCAGUGGCGAAGGCGAGUCUCUGGACAUUUCCUGACGCUGAGGCACGAAAGCCAGGGGAGCAAACGGG
rnacentral:rRNA from 1 species